AAAUAAAGGUGUUCUCAACUGGCCUCCCUGGUUAAAUAAAGGUGUUCUCAACUGGCCUACCCGGUUAAAUAAAGGUGUUCUCAAGUAGCCUACCCGGUUAAAUAAAGGUGUUCUCAACUGGCCUACCCGGUUAAAUAAAGGUGUUCUCAACUGGCCUACCCGGUUAAAUAAAGGUGUUCUCAACUGGCCUACCCGGUUAAAUAAAGGUGUUCUCAACUGGCCUACCCGGUUAAAUAAAGGUGUUCUCAACUGGCCUACCCGGUUAAAUAAAGGUGAA